rnacentral:tRNA from 1 species
GGGUUUGUGGCUUAGUGGUAGAGCGCUCGCCUAGCAUGUGUGAGGGCCUGGGUUUAAUCUCCAGCACCA